GUGCUCGCUUUGGCAGCACAUGCACUAAAACUGGAAUGGUACAGAGAAGAUUAGCAUGGCCCCAUGCAAGCAUGACACACAGAUUCAUGAAGCAUUCCAUAUUUUU